UACGAAGGGGGGCUAGCGUUGCCCCGGAAUCACUGGGCGUAAAGGGUGCGUAGGCGGGUCUUUAAGUCAGGGGUGAAAUCCUGGAGCUCAACUCCAGAACUGCCUUUGAUACUGAGGAUCUUGAGUUCGGGAGAGGUGAGUGGAACUGCGAGUGUAGAGGUGAAAUUCGUAGAUAUUCGCAAGAACACCAGUGGCGAAGGCGGCUCACUGGCCCGAUACUGACGCUGAGGCACGAAAGCGUGGGGAGCAAACAGG
rnacentral:rRNA from 1 species